GGAGAGAGAGACAGCAACCUGGAGAUUUUCACAUUUUAUUCGCUUACAUCGAAAAAUGGUUACUUACAGGUUUCACCAGUACCAGGUUGUUGGAAGAGGGUUGCCUACUGAGAAUGACGAGCACCCUAAGAUUUACAGGAUGAAGCUGUGGGCCACGAAUGAGGUUCGCGCAAAGUCCAAGUUCUGGUACUUCCUCAGGAAGCUGAAGAAGGUCAAGAAGAGCAACGGCCAAGUUCUUGCUAUCAAUGAGGUAUAAAUGCUAAAUGUCAAUUUAGUGUUGGCACAGCUGAUUGCGAGGAUAACUUGUGUAAAAAAUGUAGCAUGUGAUAGAACUUUGCAAGAAUGAUAUUUGAUUCUAAUGAUUUGUUUAUUUUGGAUUUUAGUUUCCUAUUUUGUUAUGCAUUGAAGCAGGUUUUUUGUUGUUCCAGAAUUAAUUUUAUUUCAGUGACAGAUCUUAAUAGGAUUUGAAAACUCUCCAUCUUGAUGUUUGUUUGUGCCUGCUUAUACCUUCUGUUGGUUUUCACAAUCAAUUUAUGGAAUGGAAAUUGUGAUACAUAUAUAUUUUUUCCAUGAAACCAUGCAGUCAUCUAGCCAUGAAUGCCUUUUCUUUAUAGUUUUGUGAUAUAGAUAAACAAUAUGCAUGGCUUAAUCAAUCUUGUUCUAGCCAAACUGUUAUUUACUGAAGUUGUAUGCUUAAACUUUUGAGGAAAUAUUAUGGCUGAACCAGAUUGGGUGCUUCAUUAUCUGGUCCGUGUGGAUAUAACUCAUUCCCACUUGACUCGUUCCCUUGAAGCAAUAACACUUGUGUUGCUUUUUUUAUCUCUCCCUCAGCCAUUCCCUGCUGCUUUUGGGGGAACACUGGGGCAACUACAUUUGCUCUUUUAGUCCAUGUCGUAUCCAGUCAAAAGGAACUGUAUGUACAUGAUUAUUAUUGACAUUGGAACUCUCAUUUGUGUAAAAUUUUUUAGAGCUGAAUUCGAGAAGAGAGCUUUUAUGUUAGCUAUAAUGUCUAGGGAUAUGUUUGGACUUCAAAGAAAUUAGGGUGAAGUAGUUUGGGUUGCUUCAUUAUCUGGCCAGUGUGGAUAUGACUUGUUCCCACUGACUCGUUCCCUUGAAGCAAUAUAAAGUGUGUUGCUUUAUUUUCAUCUCUCUUCCUGAGUUAUUCCAUGCUGCUUUGGAAGAACACUGGAGCAAGUACAUUUGCUCUUUAAGUUAUUCUAUUUCUCAUCCAUUUAAAAGUCACUGAAAAGUGUUGAUGCAAUAGGAAAUUUGAGUCUUGUUUAAUUUUCUUUGAAACUGAAUUUGAAUAAGAAUUUUUAUGUUAUAGCGUAACAAUUUAUGUAGGUUGAACUUGUUUGGGAUGCUUCAUUGUCUGGUCAGUGUGGAUGUAUGACUCGUUCCCUCAAAGCAAUAUAACAUCUGUUGCUUCUUUCAUCUCUCUUCCUCCUGACUGCUUUGGGGAAAGAUUGGAGCAACUACAUUUUCUCUUUAUUUUAGUUUAUUUCUUAUCUAUUUAAAGGACGCUGUACAGUCUUGUUGCACUUGGAAAUAUUAGUCCUUUGCAAUUCUUUGAAGCUGAAUUUGGAGAGAACUCAGAUUUUCUAGCCAAACUUUUACUGAAACUAUAUUCUUGAACUUUAGUUGAACUAGUUUAGUAUGCUUCAUUAUCUGGUAAUCGUGCAUUUGAUUCAUUCCCUUGAAGAAAUAUAAAUGGUUUUUCCUUGUUUCUCUCUAAGCUUUUCUUCACUGCUUUGAGAACAUUGGGGAUGCUACGUCGUCUUCAUUUUAGUAUAUUCCAAUUGCAUGGAUUAUGGAGGGCAUUAGUUGAAUUUUCUCAUUUCAUUUUUGUCUGCUAAUGUAGCAUUUAAGUUUUUUAUUUUGUGGUUUAAAUUCAAUUUACUUUCAUUUUACUUUCUUUUUUACUAAUGUUAUAUGUGAAAUUCCUUGUAGAUCUUUGAGAAAAACCCAACCAAGAUCAAGAACUAUGGCAUUUGGCUGCGUUACCAAAGCCGAACAGGUUACCACAACAUGUACAAGGAAUAUCGUGACACAACUCUCAAUGGUGCUGUGGAGCAAAUGUACAAUGAGAUGGCUUCUCGACACAGAGUCAGGUUCCCUUGCAUUCAGAUUAUAAAGACUGCCACUAUUCCUGCUAAGUUAUGCAAGAGGGAGAGCACCAAGCAGUUCCACAACUCCAAGAUAAAGUUUCCAUUGGUGUUCAAGAAGGUUAGACCACCAACUAGAAAGCUCAAGACAACAUACAAGGCAUCCAGGCCCAACUUAUUUAUGUAAACUCUAUACCCUGAUGAAUGAGGUGCAGACUGCAGAGAGAGGUGAAAGUUGGUCUAUUUCUGGAUUACAAUUUUUGUAGACUUCCUGUCAUUUUUGUUUAUUGGAUAUUGCUUUCUUUGCAAAUCUUAUAUGGUAGAUUUGUCAGAUUUGAUAUUUGGGAUA
rnacentral:misc_RNA from 1 species